UAUAUACCCCCUUCGUCUGAAAAUACUCGUCGGAGGAAUGUAUGUAUCUAAAUAUAUUUUAGUUGUAGAUACAUUCAUUUUUAUGCAUUUCUUCAAUAAGUAUUUCCCGACGGAGGGAGUAUAUA
rfam:Triticum aestivum genome assembly, contig: Triticum_aestivum_CS42_TGACv1_scaffold_147908_2BS